rnacentral:lncRNA from 1 species
CAACCCAGCGAUGCUGCUUCUAUUCAAGCAUUAAUAGGAAAUAAACCUACAGCCCCGAGGGGCAGCGUUGGUCAGGAGCAGUUUGCAGGUGCCCUUGCUGGCGGCCGGGAGAGGUGGCGCUCCCCCCGCGGCUCGCGCGGAAUGCGGUGAUCCGGCGGGGGAUGACUUCAUGCGGCCGGAGCUCGGCGGCGGGAGCGGCAGCUGCAGCUGGCAGGUGGGGCCGGGGCCCGCGCGAUCCGACCACGCACACGGCCCGGCGGGCGCGGCGGGGCUGCAGCGGGGGCAGCGGGCGCCCGGGACGCGCCGGGACUCGAUCCGGGCAAGGAAAGGAGAAACAGAAUGCUUGCUGGAGAUUGCAUCAGUUUUAUUUGAAGUAGACACUGAUAUGCUUAAAGGUGUCUGGAAUUUCUGGAAAGGCCUGAAUGCCUCAAAGAAGCAAUUUCUGGUAGAAGUCUGA